rnacentral:lncRNA from 1 species
GGUUGAUAUCUGUUACCUUUAAAACGAUAUACACAAAAUACUAUACUUUUUUGAAUUAUCUUGAUGCAACUUUUGAACAGACGGUCGGACAUUAUUGAGCGUAUGUAUAAAAUGUAGAGCUCGUCGAGAGGAACAUUUAAUACACAGUAUGUAUGCAGCAAACUUCUAUCGUUUUCUUAAUAUGUAAGCUUGAAAUUGCAGCAUAUUUUUUUUGCACUCAGUGACCUUUGACCUUGAGUGCAAAUUAAAGGUCACAUGAAUUAAAGAAUAUUGGUGUAGGUCCAAAGUCUCUACGACUUCCGGUUCUCGAAAGAA